rnacentral:lncRNA from 13 species
CUUAAGAUAUGAUGCUUUUAUACGUGGAUGUAUUCAUCUCUUCAAAGCACAACAGCGUGGCUGUGGCGACCGUAGCGACCUGUCAUGCGGUGAGAUGCCACCGAGCCCAUUGAGAGGAUUCAGCAUUGGCUGUCACCCUCCUCCAACCCCUCUUCACAGAUAUAGAAUAGCUCCUCUGCCACUAAAACACCAUGAUACUCUUUCAAGUGUUCUGCCAUUGAUGCAGCCGGGAGGGAGAAUGGGAAGCUUUGAUCAAUGUUAUCUCCAUGUAAAUUGCCCCUGGCCCUGGGGGUGGAGACACAUACUGGUGGCUGCUCUGACUGCUCUCUAACCUUGCUGAUUGUGUUUAGGGGACGUGCCGCCAGGAAAACGCAUCAAUCCCAGAGGGCAGAGAAGCUCCAUCUUCCUUUCCCUGUUCCUGGCCAGCUGUCAUCUAGGCAUGGUGAUGCGAGCGCAGAGUUAGACGAGUUGUCUCUCCCGGUGACGACAUUAGGCUACUGUCAUUCAGCGGGUGUGAGGACGGAAUGGGAGGAAGAGGGAAGUGAACCGGAUGGAAGCAAUGCUUCAAGGUCAUUCCAGGGCACGCGUUGCAUCGGUUUGACCCCGCUCGCAGGUAGAAGAAAACCGACUACACCCGCGCGAACUCAGUUGGAGAGGAAUGCACCAGUGGAGUGUUGGAAAAUAACAUUUCUGUUUGCCGACCUGCGUAUGAGGGCUCUGUCUGGUGGGGCUCGGCAGCUCCUCAACCCGGCCUGGAGACUCCUCGGCUCCCUCCCUCCCUACCUCCCUCUGGUAAGAAUGGCCUUUUGUUGCACAAUGCUCAGACAGCUAGCCAGCGUCCAACACCUCAAACACACAUACGCACGCACACACACACACACACACACACACAGCCUCACAGCAUGCCAGGGUCUCCUCAGCUCUGCCAAUACAGAGAGGAAGGAGGAGACCACAGCCGUCAGCUUCACUUCAGCCCCUUUCCUCGGCCUCAGCUAAACAGCACACACACAUGGUCAGAAAUGGAAUUAAUGACUUAGCCCUUUUUAUGGAAGCAGUACAUUUGAUUCAAAGUUGUCUGAAGGUGAGCCAGUUAGUAGAGCUAACAGUGCGUCUGGCUUCAGACCAAGGUCUGUUCUUUUGCUGAAUGAACUCGGCAUGUUCAGGUGUGAACCAUGGGUUGGCUCUUUCAUUCUUCAUAGGAGCAUGUUUGUCAGAUACGUUGAUAAACAUACUAGAAAUAUGUUCAAGAGCAAGUUAGAAUGGUGAAGGUCAAGUGUUAGAAGUUUCUCUUAGUGAUAAGGUGUGGUUUAGUUUUAGGCAACUUUGUUUCUGACAGACUAUAGGACAGUGAUCACUGAGGUCCAUAGCAAAUACACCACUAGUGGGCUCAGAAAUCAGUUGGAGUAAGCUCAGAUCAAUACAUGCUGAUUUAAGACGAUCAGACAAAGGAGUAAGCCAAUCGAGAUUCAGAUCCCCCAAUUACAGAAUAAAUGGAACAGAGUCAAAUGUCGUUUCCAUGUGUUUGAUACCGUUCCAUUUAUUCCACUCCAGCCAUUACAAUGAGCCCAUCCUCCUAUAGCUCAUCCCACCAGCCUCCUCUGGUGUGUGUGCCUAAAUUAGUAUCUGGUCUAUGCUUUCUAAGAACCAUAUGGGGCCUGUUCAGGAAUGGGGAAACAUUACAGAACGAUCAGAUAGAAAUGUCUGCAACAAACAUGAAUGUAGAAUAGGUAACAGGUACCAUGCCAGCUCUAGUCAUUACAUUUCUAUCUGCAAUGUACGUUUUGAAGUUUGAACUAUUCAUCUCACUGAAUACAAUANNNNNNNNNNGGUUAUAGAGAGAUUAUAGAGAUUAUAUGCAGAGAAAUGUAAAGUAGAAAACUCUUUUAGAUUUGGAGUAAUAUGGGGUUGAAUCCUAACUGAAAUUACAUAACAUACAUGGUUGGGUACACAUAUUAGCAGAUGUUAUUGAUUACACAGAUUAGCAGAUGUCAUCCUGAGUGAUGUCUUGAGAUGUUGCUUCAAUACAUCCACAUAAUUUCCCCUCCUCAUGAUGCCAUCUAUUUUGUGAAGUGCACCAGUCCAUCCUGCAGCAAAGCACCCCCACAAAAAGAUGCUGCCACCCCCAUGCUUCACGGUUGGGAUGGUGUUCUUCAGCUUGCAAGCCUCCCCCUUUUUCCUCCAAACAUAACGAUGGUCAUUAUGGCCAA